GACGAACGCUGGCGGCGUGCUUAACACAUGCAAGUCGAACGGUGAAGCUGGAGCUUGCUCCGGUGGAUUAGUGGCGAACGGGUGAGUAACACGUGAGCAAUCUGCCCUUGACUCUGGGAUAACUGCGGGAAACUGUAGCUAAUACCGGAUAUGAGGCUCGAAGGCAUCUUCGGGUCUGGAAAGAAUUUCGGUCAAGGAUGAGCUCGCGGCCUAUCAGCUUUUUGGUGAGGUAAUGGCUCACCAAGGCGACGACGGGUAGCCGGCCUGAGAGGGUGACAGGCCACACUGGGACUGGGACACGGGCCAGACUCAUACGGGAGGCAGCAGUGGGGAAUAUUGCACAAUGGGCGAAAGCCUGAUGCAGCAACGCCGCGUGAGGGAUGAAGGCCUUCGGGUUGUAAACCUCUUUUAGCAGGGAAGAAGCGAAAGUGACGGUACCUGCAGAAAAAGCACCGGCUAACUACGUGCCAGCAGCCGCGGUAA
rnacentral:rRNA from 1 species